rnacentral:rRNA from 1 species
AGAGUUUGAUCCUGGCUCAGGAUGAACGCUAGCGAUAGGCUUAACACAUGCAAGUCGAGGGGCAGCAUGGUCUUAGCUUGCUAAGACUGAUGGCGACCGGCGCACGGGUGCGUAACGCGUAUGCAACUUGCCUCACAGAGGGGGAUAACCCGUCGAAAGACGGACUAAUACCGCGUACACUCCAGCUUGGGCAUCCAGGCUAGAGGAAAUGAAUUUCGCUGUGAGAUAGGCAUGCGUCCCAUUAGCUAGUUGGUGAGGUAACGGCUCACCAAGGCGACGAUGGGUAGGGGAACUGAGAGGUUGAACCCCCACACUGGUACUGAGACACGGACCAGACUCCUACGGGAGGCAGCAGUGAGGAAUAUUGGUCAAUGGGCGAGAGCCUGAACCAGCCAAGUCGCGUGAAGGAUGACUGUCUUAUGGAUUGUAAACUUCUUUUGUAGGGGAAUAAAGAACAGCACGUGUGCUGUAGUGAAUGUACCCUACGAAUAAGCAUCGGCUAACUCCGUGCCAGCAGCCGCGGUAAUACGGAGGAUGCGAGCGUUAUCCGGAUUUAUUGGGUUUAAAGGGUGCGUAGGCGGCCUGUUAAGUCAGCGGUGAAAUCUAGGAGCUUAACUCCUAAAUUGCCAUUGAUACUGGCGGGCUUGAGUGUAGAUGAGGUAGGCGGAAUGCGUGGUGUAGCGGUGGAAUGCAUAGAUAUCACGCAGAACUCCAAUUGCGAAGGCAGCUUACUAAGGUACAACUGACGCUGAAGCACGAAAGCGUGGGUAUCAAACAGGAUUAGAUACCCUGGUAGUCCACGCAGUAAACGAUGAUAACUGGGCGUAUGCGAUAUACAGUAUGCUCCUAAGCGAAAGCGUUAAGUUAUCCACCUGGGGAGUACGCCGGCAACGGUGAAACUCAAAGGAAUUGACGGGGGCCCG